UGCAGUUAAGGCUAUUAUUUC
rnacentral:piRNA from 1 species